AAAAAAGGGCGCGUGAAAUUUCAGUGAACGACAGAGAUGAAAUAUCGCAAAGCGAACCCUCUUAACCGUCUUCUUUCUUUCCCUCCAAAUGUUAAUAUAAAUAAUAUUCAUUAAUUUCUUUUUUCACUUUCGCGUUCUCUCUCAUUCUCUUUUUUCUUUCUCUCUUGGAAACCAACCGUUAUAGCGAUCCCUUUCUCUGCCAAUUCGAGCACGAUUUCUGAAAAAAAUGCAUUUCGCGAAUCUCGAUGACACUCCGAUGUUCCGUCAACAGAUGCAGUGUUUGGAGGAAAGUGCAGAAUCGUUGCGUGUGAGAUGCUGCAAGUUCUAUAAAGGAUGUCGAAAGUAUAUGGAAGGUCUUGGAGAGGCAUAUGAUGGGGACAUCGCAUUUGCAAGUGCCAUAGAAAACUUCGGAGGCGGGCAGAAUGAUCCUCAUUUUAUUGCUUUGGGAGGACCUGUUUUGACCAAAUAUACUCUAGCAUUGAGAGAAAUCAGUACAUACAAGGAACUGCUCCGGUUACAAGUAGAGUACAUUUUCAAUCAUCGGUUACAACCGAUUGUCAAUGUUGACAUCAAUGAAGUCAAGGAAGCUCGUAAACGUUUUGAUAAAUCCUCCCUUGUAUAUGAUCAGGCACGUGAAAAAUUUAUGUCACUCAGAAAAAGUACUAAGAUUGACAUUGCCACUGUCAUUGAAGAGGAACUGCAGGAGGCAAGAGCAUCAUUUGAGGAAGCCCGUUUCAAUUUGGUUGGCACUCUUAAUAACGUUGAGGUGAAGAAGAGAUUCGAGUUUUUAGAGGCUGUAACUGGAAUUAUGGAUGCUCAUUUUCGAUACUUUCAACAGGGGUAUCAGCUAUUGCAUCAGAUGGAACCUUUCAUCAAUGAGAUUAUGGAUUAUGUACAUCAGUCAAGAGAAAAUUACAAUAACGAACAGAUUCAACUUUAUCAAAGAAUGCAAGACUACAAGAAACAAGCUUAUGAAGAAAGUAGGUUAUCCUUGAGUGGUCCCUAUGGUUCUCUUCUUGGAGACUCUACACAUCCAUUUUCUAGGAUAUCAAAUGAGGCAGCAGAUGUAGUAAUGGAAUCUGCUGCGAAUGGAAAGGUUCAAAUCAUUCGGCAAGGGCAUCUUUCAAAACGAUCCUCCAAUUUGAGAGCUGAUUGGAAAAGAAGGUAUUUUGUUCUUGACAGUCGGGGAAUGUUGUACUACUACCGCAAGCCAUGGAGCGGGUCAUAUGGCAGCAAUCAACCAUCUCCAAAGAGGAAUAGCGGCGUUGAAAAUGGUUCUGGAAUUCUAAGUCGAUGGCUUUCUUCUCAUUACCAUGGAGGCGUUCAUGAUGAAAGAUCCAUAGCACGUCAUACAGUUAACCUGCUGACAUCAACAAUCAAGGUUGAUGCUGAUCAGUCAGAUUUGAGAUUCUGCUUCAGGAUUAUUUCGCCUACAAAGAACUAUACGUUGCAGGCAGAAAAUGCAGUGGACCAGAUGGAUUGGAUGCAAAAGAUAAAUGGAGUAAUUGCUACCUUGUUGACUGUCCAGACACUAGGAACGCCUCCCUCAGCUGACUCAGAAAACGACGACUCUCACUCUGAUGACAAUAUUGAAAAGUCAGAAAGUUAUCCAGAUGAUGAUCAUGCUUUGAGAACGAAGUCUGCAUUGAAUAAAACCACCCGUACUAAGCACUUACGUUCGUCUAGAAGUAUGAACUUACAUACACACACUCUGAGAAUUGAAAAGCCAAUUGAUGUUCUUAGAAGUGUGAGCGGAAAUGAUAAAUGUGCUGAUUGUGGUAAACCUGAACCAGAGUGGGCAUCCUUAAACCUUGGCAUCCUCAUAUGCAUUGAGUGUUCUGGUGUUCAUCGUAAUCUUGGUGUACAUAUAUCAAAAGUAAGAUCGCUGACACUCGAUGUUAAAGUUUGGGAUUCCUCAGUCUUAAGUAUGCUUAAAUCACUAGGCAAUCUUUUUUCAAACUCAGUUUGGGAGGAGUUGUUGCAUUCACAGGGUAAUUUGCAAACUGUAGACACCCUUGCUAGUUCAUCCAAGGAAAAUGAAGAGGAGAUAUUCCAUGCAAGAAAGCCAAAACAUGAUGAUCCGAUUUUAGUAAAGGAAAUGUUCAUUCAUGCAAAGUAUUGUGAGAAAAUAUUUAUUCCCCGGAUCACGGAUAGCCACCCUAUCCAUUCACUAGCGCAACAGUUGCAGGAAAGCAUCUGUGCAAAUGACAAAAAAGCAGUGUACCAGCUUAUUGUUAAGUCGAAUGUUGACGUCAAUGCCAUCGGUUGUCAAGCAUUGUCUGGUGACAAUUUGGACAUGGCUUCAAGUAAUUCAAACAUUGCAUCUCAAAGUGAAAAUCAGGUCGUUGAGGACGUAAAAGAUGGCUCUAGCGCGCUUCACCUGGCUUGCCUAAAUAGUGACAUUGGCAUGGUGGAGCUACUCCUACAGCUUGGGGCAGAUAUAAAUGCUUCCGAUUCUAGAGGUCGGACACCACUUCAUUGUUCUAUUAUUGGAGGGAAGAAUGCAGCUGCAAAAGUGCUUAUCUCGAGGUAUCAAACUAUGGUUGGGAUUCCACGACAGAAUGGUCUAGAAUGAGUGAGAUGCAUGCUACUAAGUGUUGGAGUUUCAAAGGUGUUUGAGCUAAAGUUUCUACCAUUGUUUCUUGAUAAACGGAUUUCUCACAAUUGCUCUAAAUGUGAAAACGCUGGAAAUUUGAUGAUCAAGUGGGAGCAGAGUUAGACAAUAAGUUGAUGAUGGCUAUAAUGUAGUCAAUGAUGGAACAAGAUGAACAAUCAAACCCUUAAUGAGGGGAGCCAAUACAUAUGUGGCAGAUAAAGAAGGCAACACUCCUAUUAAGCUUGCAUCAGAAUCCAUCUGCGUUGACAAAGAAAUUAUCAAUCUCUUGACAAGCAGAUAACAAGCCCAAAAUCUUACUAAAAGCAGCCAUUACUAAACAACGCUUUUUGUGACUUCUCCAGAAGAUAGAGGACCAACUAAGCAACGCUUACAAGCACAAAGGGGCCUGGAGCAAGUGGUUUAGCUUUAUUGGGCCAUAUUAUAAGUAAUUAUCUUCAUGAUUGAAGGAUGUGAUGGGCUCAUAUUGUGGGGUUUCAACUCUAUUUUAAUGUUUAACUUAAAUUUUAGGAACUGGAAUCAUUCUCAUCUAUUCUAACAGAGGACUGUAUAUAAGUUACUUAAAUUAUUAUUAAACGAAAAAAAAAACAAGAAGGCAAAGAGACAGGAAAAAAAGGUUAAUGCAUGGAUCUUAAAUAAGUAUGGCCCAGUUAAACAAGAGAAAUGGGAGAGACGACCUUCCCAAAACGUGAAUCUUAAUUAAGUGCUGAUUAUGACAGAAUUGUUAGGUUCAAUGUUCCAUCAGGUAGCAUAAAAUUUAAUCACUUUUUAAUUACAAAAUGUCUUUGCCAUACUUAAGCAAAUAAACGACCCAAA